rnacentral:rRNA from 1 species
GACGAACGCUGGCGGCGUGCUUAACACAUGCAAGUCGAACGGUAAGGCCCUGCUUUUGUGGGGUGCUCGAGUGGCGCACGGGUGUGUAUCACGUGAGUAGCCUGCCCUUUACUUUGUGAUACCUUCAGGAAACUCGGGCUCAUACCCCAUAUGAGCUCCUUCUGCAUGGUUGUGGUUUUAAAGUUUCGGCGGUUGGUGAUUGACGCGAGGCUUAUCAGCUUGUUGGUGGGUUAGUGGCUUACCAAGGCUUUGACGGGUAGCCGGCAUGAGAGGGUGACCGGGCAAAAUGGGACUGAGGUAGGGAACAGAGGGAAACGGGAGGCAGGAGUGGGGAAUAGAGCACAAAGGGCGGAAGGAUGAAGAAGGAACGGCGGGUGGGGGAUGACGGACGUCGGGUUGUAAACCGGGUGAGAGUGUGAGGAAGAGUGAGUGACGGUAAUGGGUAAAGAAGCAACGGCUAACUACGUG